rnacentral:rRNA from 1 species
AGAGUUUGAUCCUGGNUCAGNCCCCUNAANGGGCGGCAUGCCUAACACAUGCAAGUCGAACGGCNUCACAGCAGUAGCAAUACUGUGGGUGGCGAGUGGCGGACGGGUGAGUAAUGCAUCGGGAUCUACCCAAACGUGGGGGAUAACGUAGGGAAACUUACGCUAAUACCGCAUACGUCCUAUGGGAGAAAGCGGGGGAUCGAAAGACCUCGCGCGGUUGGACGAACCGAUGUUCGAUUAGCUAGUUGGUGAGGUAAUGGCUCACCAAGGCGACGAUCGAUAGCUGGUCUGAGAGGAUGAUCAGCCACACUGGAACUGAGACACGGUCCAGACUCCUACGGGAGGCAGCAGUGGGGAAUAUUGGACAAUGGGCGCAAGCCUGAUCCAGCAAUGCCGCGUGUGUGAAGAAGGCCUUCGGGUUGUAAAGCACUUUUAUCAGGAGCGAAAUGCCAUUGGUUAAUACCCGGUGGAGCUGACGGUACCUGAGGAAUAAGCACCGGCUAACUUCGUGCCAGCAGCCGCGGUAAUACGAAGGGUGCAAGCGUUAAUCGGAAUUACUGGGCGUAAAGCGUGCGUAGGCGGUUUCUUAAGUCUGCUGUGAAAUCCCCGGGCUCAACCUGGGAAUGGCAGUGGAUACUGGGAAGCUAGAGUGUGAUAGAGGAUGGUGGAAUUCCCGGUGUAGCGGUGAAAUGCGUAGAGAUCGGGAGGA